GUGGGGAAUCUUGCGCAAUGGGCGAAAGCCUGACGCAGCCAUGCCGCGUGAAUGAUGAAGGUCUUAGGAUUGUAAAAUUCUUUCACCGGGGACGAUAAUGACGGUACCCGGAGAAGAAGCUCCGGCUAACUUCGUGCCAGCAGCCGCGGUAAUACGAAGGGGGCUAGCGUUGCUCGGAAUUACUGGGCGUAAAGGGCGCGUAGGCGGACAGCUUAGUCAGAGGUGAAAGCCCAGGGCUCAACCUUGGAAUUGCCUUUGAUACUGGCUGUCUUGAGUUUGGGAGAGGUGAGAGGAACUCCGAGUGUAGAGGUGAAAUUCGUAGAUAUUCGGAAGAACACCAGUGGCGAAGGCGACUCACUGGCCCAAUACUGACGCUGAGGCGCGAAAGCGUGGGGAGCAAACAGGAUUAGAAACCCGGGUAGUCC
rnacentral:rRNA from 1 species